GGUAAGGUACAUGAAAGGCCUUAUGAUUGUCGGUGAAUGGACGCGGCCUUAUGAUCGUGGGUGAACGGAGGGGAGAACGAAGCGUGUGUAUAGUAGUGAGAUGGAAAAAAGAAAGGUCAAAACAGAGAAAUAAAGCCAAAAAAAAAAUCGAUGACGAGAGAUGACUGGUAAUAGAGAGAGGUCGUCAUAAAAUUAGCAAAUCGGUUUUUAUAUGGCUAUAGAAUAAAAAUAAAAAAACACGAUCCUAUGACAAGUUAAUAUAUAUAAAUAAACAUUUCGGUUUCUAUUAAACAAAUCAGGGAAAAAAACCUAAACAAAGAACACAUAUAAAAUUGCAAUUCAUGAUAACUAAAUUUUAGAUCAAAACUAGAAGAGAAAAUAUAGGAAUAAG
rnacentral:lncRNA from 1 species